UCUUGUUUGCUGCCGCACAUACUUCGCAACCUGCCUUAUGGACUGCAGUUUCAUUUUUUAUGGGUUCUUGAGAUAUGUUAUUUGCAGGGAGCAUCCUGAUUUCUUCAGUUGCAAUUGUUUUGUUCAUUUACUUUUUGCCUUCUUGAUUGGCUCAAACAUGCUCAUUGUGAAAGGGCGAGGAGCCGCCGCCAUGUUUCUCCCCGAGCUCCGUGGUAGAAUGGUCUAUUUGUAUGAGAUUGUGUUUAGCGCAUGCGAAGAGCUCAGUUCUCGUAAGCUAGACCCUGAGGCGUGCAACAGGUAUGUGGAGAUUAAGGAGCGUGCCCAUGUGAGCGGCUUCGAUUUUGUUGUGCCAAGAUCUCUGGUGGCAGGGAUUCACUUUGUUUUUUUGGUGAUAGUCAGGAGGUUAUAUAGUUUGAUGUUUCUGAAUUUUAACAAUCAUGUUUUACAGUACCCUUGACAUGAAUGAGAUCAUUGGGCUUAAAUGAGAAUGAUGAGAACCAUCUGUUCUCCAUCGCAAUUAGCAUGUGUUUAAACUACUACUGCAGCAAAUGUUUGUCGUACCUUCAGUUUGUGCCGUAGAAUCUGUGUUUCAUUGGCACUUUUGUGUGUGUUUGAUUUAGUAUCUUUACCCAGGUGCUUGCUAGAGGAGAAGAUUAAUGGUCCGACACGGCUUCAUGAUGUAUGAGCUGGAGGAGAGGGCAUUGGAUGAACCAACCAGUUCGAAGUUGUAGAGUUUGGAGGUGGAUGUUACUAAAGGGAGGAAGUUGAUCACAAGUUUUCUUUCAGCAAUUGGUGAGUUACAGUUUUGUUUCACUUUUCAAGGAUGAGUAUCUUUACUUUGAAAAUGAACUGGUCAUAUUUCUAUUGGAAAUGAAGUGAUGUUUCUUCCCAGGUAAAUAACUGAAUUCUCUUCUACUUUAGUAGAUUUAGUAACUUUGCUUUAGAGUUGUUGUUUAACAGUAGCACUACCCUUGAGUAACUAGAUCAAUGGCUGCCACUAUGUAGAUCUUAGUUCCAGUACAUAUGAUAAUCAUGGUUCUUCUGUCUUGGUCUGAUGAUUUUAUACAUGCCAACAAGCAACCAUGCGAUAUGUUCUUUACUUCUGCACCUAACAGCAUGUUUUCCCACAAAAAAGUACAUGUGCCGCGACAAUCAUGCGUUU